rnacentral:misc_RNA from 1 species
AAGUCGUAACAAGGUUUCCGUAGGUGAACCUGCGGAAGGAUCAAUCCUUAUAAUACAUAUUUAUAUGUAUGCAUUUUAUAUGAUGCCUAUUCUUCUCGGAGAAUAAGUGUAGUUGAAUUCAAACAGUUUCGUUUGAUCAGCUAAAAAACUAAAAAAACACUUUUUAGCCAUUUGAAACGUAAAAAGUUUUUCACAACUAUUAGUGGUGGAUCACUUGGCUCGCAGGUCG